rnacentral:misc_RNA from 1 species
UACAGAGGGUGCAAGCGUUAAUCGGAAUUACUGGGCGUAAAGCGCGCGUAGGUGGUUUGUUAAGUUGGAUGUGAAAGCCCCGGGCUCAACCUGGGAACUGCAUCCAAAGCUGGCAAGCUAGAGUACGGUAGAGGGUGGUGGAAUUUCCUGUGUAGCGGUGAAAUGCGUAGAUAAAGGAAGGAACGCCAGUGGCGAAGGCGACCGACUGGGCUGAUAAUGAACCUGAGGUGCGAAAGCGUGGGGAGCAAACAGG